GUAGAGGAGCGUUCCGUUCAGCAGUGAAGCUUCGUCGCGAGACGGGGUGGAGCGGACGGAAGUGAGAAUGUUGGCAUGAGUAACUACUAGGCAGGUGAAAACCCUGCCCGCCGAAUCCCCAAGGUUUCCCACGUAACGGCAAUCGGCGUGGGGUUAGUCGGGCCUAAGGUGAGGCCGAAAGGCGUAACCGAUGGACAACAGGUAAAUAUUCCUGUACCUCAUAAAAAUCGCCCAAGAGUACCACCCAAGAGUCUUAAGAGCCUCUGUAUCCCACUUCGGUGGGGUGCAUGUUCUCCAGAAAGGCGAGUGGUACGCUAGA
rnacentral:autocatalytically_spliced_intron from 2 species